GGGGAAUAUUGGACAAUGGGCGAAAGCCUGAUCCAGCCAUGCCGCGUGUGUGAAGAAGGCCUUUUGGUUGUAAAGCACUUUAAGUGGGGAGGAAAAGCUUAUGGUUAAUACCCAUAAGCCCUGACGUUACCCACAGAAUAAGCACCGGCUAACUCUGUGCCAGCAGCCGCGGUAAUACAGAGGGUGCAAGCGUUAAUCGGAAUUACUGGGCGUAAAGCGCGCGUAGGUGGUUAUUUAAGUCAGAUGUGAAAGCCCCGGGCUUAACCUGGGAACUGCAUCUGAUACUGGAUAACUAGAGUAGGUGAGAGGGGAGUAGAAUUCCAGGUGUAGCGGUGAAAUGCGUAGAGAUCUGGAGGAAUACCGAUGGCGAAGGCAGCUCCCUGGCAUCAUACUGACACUGAGGUGCGAAAGCGUGGGUAGCAAACGGGAUUAGAUACCCUGGUAGUCCACGCCGUAAACGAUGUCUACCAGUCGUUGGGUCUUUUAAAGACUUAGUGACGCAGUUAACGCAAUAAGUAGACCGCCUGGGGAGUACGGCCGCAAGGUUA
rnacentral:rRNA from 1 species